rnacentral:rRNA from 1 species
UGGGGAAUAUUGCACAAUGGGCGCAAGCCUGAUGCAGCCAUGCCGCGUGUAUGAAGAAGGCCUUCGGGUUGUAAAGUACUUUCAGCGGGGAGGAAGGUGUUGUGGUUAAUAACCACAGCAAUUGACGUUACCCGCAGAAGAAGCACCGGCUAACUCCGUGCCAGCAGCCGCGGUAAUACGGAGGGUGCAAGAGUUAAUCGGAAUUACUGGGCGUAAAGCGCACGCAGGCGGUCUGUCAAGUCGGAUGUGAAAUCCCCGGGCUCAACCUGGGAACUGCAUCCGAAACUGGCAGGCUUGAGUCUUGUAGAGGGGGGUAGAAUUCCAGGUGUAGCGGUGAAAUGCGUAGAGAUCUGGAGGAAUACCGGUGGCGAAGGCGGCCCCCUGGACAAAGACUGACGCUCAGGUGCGAAAGCGUGGGGAGCAAACA